GUCUCUGUGGGUCACUAUGGGGUCUCUGUGGGUCACUAUGGGGUCUCUGUGGGGUUUUAUGGGGUCUCUGUGGGGUUUCUAUAGGGUCCCUAGGGGUCCCUAUGGGUUUCUAUGGGUCUGUAUUGCUCUCUAUGGGUCCCUGUGGGUCCCUGUGGGUCUCUAUGGGGUCUCUCUCUAUGGGGUCUCUCUCUAUGGGGUCUCUCUCUAUGGGGUCUCUAUGGGGUCGCUAUGGGGUCCCUAUGGGUUUCUUAUGGGUUUCAAAAGGGCUCUUAUGGGUCGCUAUGGGGUCUCUGUGGGUCGCUAUGGGGUCUCUGUGGGUCGCUAUGGGGUCUCUGUGGGUCGCUAUGGGGUCUCUGUGGGGUUUUAUGGGGUCUCUGUGGGUUUCUAUAGGGUCCCUAGGGGUCCCUAUGGGUUUCUAUGGGUCUGUAUUGCUCUCUGUGGGUCCCUAUGG
rnacentral:lncRNA from 1 species